GUGCCAGCAGCCGCGGUAAUACGAAGGGACCUAGCGUAGUUCGGAAUUACUGGGCUUAAAGAGCUCGUAGGUGGUUAGAAAAGUUGGUGGUGAAAUCCCAAGGCUUAACCUUGGAACUGCCACCAAAACUUUUUGACUAGAGUAUGAUAGAGGAAAGUGGAAUUUCUAGUGUAGAGGUGAAAUUCGUAGAUAUUAGAAAGAACACCAAUUGCGAAGGCAACUUUCUGGAUCAUUACUGACACUGAGGAGCGAAAGCAUGGGUAGCGAARAGGAUUAGAUACCCUCGUAGYCCWUGCCGUAAACGAUGUGUGCUAGACGUUGGAAAUUUAGUUUUCAGUGUSGCARCAAAAGCGUUAAGCACACCGCCUGGGGAGUACGACCGCAAGGUUAAAACUCAAAUGAAUUGACGGGGACCCGCACAAGUAGUGGAGCAUGUGGUUUAAUUCGAAGAUACGCGCAGAACCUUACCAACACUUGACAUGUUCGUCGCGACUCCAAGAGAUUAGAGUCUUCGGUUCGGCCGGACGAAACACAGGUGCUGCAUGGCUGUCGUCAGCUCGUGUCGUGAGAUGUUGGGUUAAGUCCCGCAACGAGCGCAACCCUUACUUUUAGUUGCUACCAUUUAGUUGGGCACUCUAAAGGAACUGCCAGUGAUAAGCUGGAGGAAGGCGGGGAUGACGUCAAGUCCUCAUGGCCCUUAUGUGUUGGGCUACACACGUGCUACAAUGGUACCCACAGUGAGAAGCGAAGAGGCGACUCUAAGCCAAUCCCUAAAAAGGUACCUCAGUUCGGAUUGUACUCUGCAACUCGAGUACAUGAAGCUGGAAUUACUAGUAAUCGCGGAUCAGCGCGCCGCGGUGAAUACGUUUCCCGGGUCUUGCACACACCGCCCGUC
rnacentral:rRNA from 1 species